UACGAAGGGUGCAAGCGUUGUUCGGAAUUACUGGGCGUAAAGCGUGCGUAGGCGGGUUUGUAAGUCGAUUGUGAAAUCCCCGGGCUUAACCCGGGAAUUGCAGUCGAUACUGCAAAUCUUGAAUGCUUGAGAGGAUGGCGGAAUUCCCGGUGUAGUGGUGAAAUACGUAGAUAUCGGGAAGAACACCUGAGGCGAAGGCGGCUAUCUGGCGAUGCAUUGACGCUGUGGCGCGAAAGCGUGGGGAGCAAACAGG
rnacentral:rRNA from 1 species